AACGUAGGUGGCGAGCGUUAUCCGGAUUUACUGGGCGUAAAGCGCGUGUAGGCGGCUAAGUAAGUCGGGCGUGAAAUCCCACGGCUCAACCGGGGAAGUGCACUCGAAACUGCAAGGCUAGAGUCUCGGAGAGGAUCGUGGAAUUCUCGGUGUAGAGGUGAAAUUCGUAGAUAUCGAGAGGAACACCGGUGGCGAAGGCGGCGAUCUGGACGAUGACUGACGCUGAGACGCGAAAGCGUGGGGAGCAAACAGG
rnacentral:rRNA from 1 species